rnacentral:rRNA from 1 species
UACAGAGGGUGCAAGCGUUAAUCGGAUUUACUGGGCGUAAAGCGUGCGUAGGCGGUUCGCUAAGUCGGUUGUGAAAUCCCUCGGCUUAACCGAGGAACUGCCUGUCAAACUGCAUGGCUUGAGACCAGGAGAGGUGAGUGGAAUUCCCAGUGUAGCGGUGAAAUGCGUAGAUAUUGGGAGGAACACCAGUGGCGAAGGCGGCUCACUGGACUGGUACUGACGCUGAUGCGCGAAAGCGUGGGGAGCAAACAGG